GCCCGAGUGGUGGAAUGGCAGACACGCUUGACUCAAAAUCAAGUGUUCGUGAGGACGUACGGGUUCAAGUCCCGUCUUGGGCACCA
rnacentral:tRNA from 1 species